rnacentral:piRNA from 1 species
UAGUUCAGGUCCUAGUGAAAG